GACAGAGGGUGCAAACGUUGUUCGGAAUUACUGGGCGUAAAGCGCGUGUAGGCCGGCUAAGUAAGUCGGGCGUGAAAUCCCACGGCUCAACCGUGGAAGUGCACUCGAAACUGCAUAGCUAGAGUCCUGGAGAGGAAGGUGGAAUGCUUGGUGUAGAGGUGAAAUUCGUAGAUAUCAAGCGGAACACCGGUGGCGAAGGCGGCCUUCUGGACCAGUGACUGAC
rnacentral:rRNA from 1 species